UUCUGGCUCCGCCCCUGGGGACCAAAGAAAAGAAAUGUCACAAAAUAAGAAGUCUUGAAGAAACUUCUUCCUCCCGUAGUCCCUCUUCAACAUGGAGAUUGGAUGAAGCUCAUCACCUACUAGAGCUCCACCCUAACUCGAUUGAUAUCUUCCACGACCAUGAGCUUAAGCUUCAUUAGACGGUAACGGUAAAUGGCAUUGACUUCAAUCUGAAGGGGAUGAAUAUUAGGAGGAGCCGAAAUUAGUGAGGUGAAGCAGUGGAGGUUGCAGAUGAUAAUGUAAAGUUUCAUCAGUUGCAUUGCUAUUAUUUGAGGAUUUGCAAUUGUGAAGGUAUUUCAGAGCACAGAUGAGAGCUGGGUUGCUGUCUUGUGAUUGGGGAAGUAAUAAAAAUUUAGGAAAAUGUAGGAGGAUAGCUCAAUUUGUUGGACACUGGACUCCUACAUUGGCGCAAUAGAGGCAACGCCGCUGGAGUGGGCAAGUGAAUGAAUGAAACUGCCUUGCUACUUUUUUUUUCCUUGAGAAUAUCACAUAAUUCACGCUGCCUUCUUGCUUUCUUGUUUGGAAGACGAAGAAAAAGAAAUUUAAACAGUGACAGCUUUUGAGAAUUUGAGUCAUGGUUGUGUAAAAGCUUACAUUGCUGGGCUAUUGUCAUUGUUCUUGAGUAUAUAUAAUCACUGUCCAAAACAAUCUGACAUGUCACAAUGCUUAAGAAUCUUUGCUUGUUGUCCUUAAAAAGCAACAAUGUAGUUUUAGUUGGUAAUGUUGGGCACCUGUUUUCUUCGUUUUUUGGAGAGAUUUACAACUCGAAUGAAUUUGAGAUUAACACUAGCUAUUGCUAAUCAAUAUUCAAUACCAAAUACUAGAAUUUUGAU